GUUUCUUCUUCCCGUAAGGCGACCACCUUCAACCUAUCGAAGAUUAAUAUUUUUGUCGCCAUGUCGGGUAUACUGCGCAAGGGAGAGUGGAGUAAUGUGUACUGAGGAGGUGGAGGUUACGGGGCUUACAAGUUGGACUUAAAGCCCUCAAGAUUGGUGCAGAGGGCAGUGUCAGCAGGCAAGUUAAUGUUGGUAGGAUAGCCUGGUAUUCAGGAUAGCCUGGUAUUCAGCCCAGUUAGGCUGCCGUUCCCAGAGCACAUCUGGCAGUGUUGGGUCGCUGCAUUCGUGGGCAUCGCCUCGUGGACGGUCUGGAGGUUCUUUAUCAGGAGAAACCAGAAGCCAGAGUCAGGUGACUGGAGCAAGCUGGCCCAGAAGUAGCCAUAGAGUACACCAGAAAGUGCCACAUAUAGACUGACAGGACCGGCCUUUUUGGGGUCAAGGUUCACCAGAAAGGUCAAGGUCAAGGUCAAUACACAUUCUAAAGAUCCAAGGUCGACAGAAAGGAAGAGAAGAGUCAGCAUUUCGAUCCAACAUAAUUCAGAGGUCAUGGUUCAACAAACAUCAAAUAGCAAGGUCCAAGAUGUUUGGAGGUCAAGGUUCAAGGUGCAAAAUAUGGAGGAAAGGUGAAGGGUCAACAGUCAGAGGUCAGGGUGUAUAUAGGUAGGGAGGUGCAAUGAUACAAACCUGGACAUUCAGUCACGAGUUAUCUGUAUAAUUGGCAUAAAUGUGGAUGAUGACUUUUUCUGUUGUAUUUUUAAGUAAUUAAGUUAGUAAUUAUUUAUCUCAUUAUGACAGUGAAACAACUGUUUUCAACUGUGCCCUAUAUUUCUUCAUGCUCUCAGGCAACAAUAUCCAACGGCCAUGUGAUCAUGCCAUAUUCAGAAAGGUGCAGAUGAUAUAGCCUCCUUAGCAUGGUCUACAAGUCAGGCGAAAAUUGUGCAUUUUUUCUGAAUCUACAACAGUUCUCAUUGUAUUUGUUGUACUUGUUUUCCUGUGGGCUGCAACCUUUAACACACAAGAACCUACAUACACAGAACUGAUAUGCUACAUAAAAAAACAACCAUUUUAUAAAUACUUUUUAAGCCCAGAAAGCCUGACUUGUAUAGCCUAAUAAGGAGACUACAGAUUAUAAGUAGACAGUUGAGAAACUGUUUUCUGUAUUUUUGCCAAAUUUUGAGGCAUUUUUGUAGCCUUGAUGCCAUCUAUUUUGUAAUGAGGCCUCUUGCACUCACUGACCUGAGCUAGCAUUACUGUUUUUGAUGAAAACAACUUGUCCUAUGCAAUACACACAUAAAAGCAACUGAGCAGGCAUGCUAACAUAUGGAAAGUGUAGUCUCUACCAGACUAACUACGCUGGCUAUAUAUAGGAGAAUAUUUGCCAGGGGAGUUUGGCCGCCUUGUAGGUUUGACUGG